rnacentral:rRNA from 1 species
UACCUGUCAGCUUUGAGUGAGCGACCGGUUGGAAACAACCGAAAACAGUAACAGGAAUUGAACUGAAGAGUUUGAUCCUGGCUCAGAUUGAACGCUGGCGGCAUGCCUUACACAUGCAAGUCGAACGGCAGCACGGGCUUCGGCCUGGUGGCGAGUGGCGAACGGGUGAGUAAUACAUCGGAACAUGUCCUGUAGUGGGGGAUAGCCCGGCGAAAGCCGGAUUAAUACCGCAUACGAUCUAAGGAUGAAAGCGGGGGACCUUCGGGCCUCGCGCUAUAGGGUUGGCCGAUGGCUGAUUAGCUAGUUGGUGGGGUAAAGGCCUACCAAGGCGACGAUCAGUAGCUGGUCUGAGAGGACGACCAGCCACACUGGGACUGAGACACGGCCCAGACUCCUACGGGA